rnacentral:rRNA from 1 species
GACGAACGCUGGCGGCGUGCUUAACACAUGCAAGUCGAACGGAAAGGCCCUGCUUUUGUGGGGUGCUCGAGUGGCGAACGGGUGAGUAACACGUGAGUAACCUGCCCUUGACUUUGGGAUAACUUCAGGAAACUGGGGCUAAUACCGGAUAGGAGCUCCUGCUGCAUGGUGGGGGUUGGAACGUUUCGGCGGUUGGGGAUGGACUCGCGGCUUAUCAGCUUGUUGGUGGGGUAGUGGCUUACCAAGGCUUUGACGGGUAGCCGGCCUGAGAGGGUGACCGGCGACAUUGGGACUGAGAUACGGCCCAGACUCGUACGGGAGGCAGCAGUGGGGAAUAUUGCACAAUGGGCGGAAGCCUGAGGCAGCAACGCCGCGUGCGGGAUGACGGCCUUCGGGUUGUAAACCGCUUUCGCCUGUGACGAAGCGUGAGUGACGGUAAUGGGUAAAGAAGCACCGGCUAACUACGUG